GAGUUUGAUCGAUUUCGAGUU
rnacentral:miRNA from 1 species